rnacentral:rRNA from 1 species
AUUGAACGCUGGCGGCGUGCUUAACACAUGCAAGUCGAUCGGUAACAGGUGUAGCAAUACAUGCUGACGAGAGGCGGACGGGUGAGGAAUAUUUGGGAAUCUGCCCAUCAGCGGGGGACAACCCGGGGAAACCCGGGCUAAUACCGCAUACGCUCUACGGAGGAAAGCCGGGGACCGCAAGGCCUGGCACUGAUGGAUGAGCCCAAAUCGGGUUAGCUAGUUGGCGGGGGAACGGCCCACCAGGGGGACGAUCCGUAGCUGGUCUGAGAGGACAAUCAGCCACACCGGAACUGAGACACGGUCCGGACGCCUACGGGAGGCAGCAGUGGGGAAUAUUGGGCAAUGGGGGAAACCCUGAUCCAGCGACGCGGCGUGGGUGAAGAAGGCCUGCGGGUUGUAAAGCCCUUUCGGUAGGGACGAAAGCUCUUGCUCUAACAAAGCAGGAGGUUGACUUAACCUACAUAGGAAGCACCGGCUAACUCUGUGCCAGCAGCCGCAGUAACAC